UCGGGAAUUUUGCGCAAUGGACGAAAGUCUGACGCAGCAACGCCGCGUGAGGGAUGACGGCCUUCGGGUUGUAAACCUCUUUUGUCAGGGACGAUGAUGACGGUACCUGACGAAUAAGCCACGGCUAACUACGUGCCAGCAGCCGCGGUAAUACGUAGGUGGCAAGCGUUGUCCGGAUUUACUGGGCGUAAAGAGCGCGCAGGCGGUCGAUUUAGUCGCGUGUGAAAGCCCCCGGCUCAACUGGGGAGGGUCACGCGAUACUGAUCGACUCGAAGGCAGGAGAGGGUAGUGGAAUUCCCGGCGUAAUGGUGAAAUGCGUAGAUAUCGGGAGGAACACCAGUGGCGAAGGCGACUACCUGGCCUGUUCUUGACGCUGAGGCGCGAGAGCUAGGGGAGCAAACGGG
rnacentral:rRNA from 1 species